rnacentral:rRNA from 1 species
AGUGAACGCUGGCGGUAGGCCUAACACAUGCAAGUCGAACGGCAGCACAGUAAGAGCUUGCUCUUACGGGUGGCGAGUGGCGGACGGGUGAGGAAUACAUCGGAAUCUACUUUUUCGUGGGGGAUAACGUAGGGAAACUUACGCUAAUACCGCAUACGACCUACGGGUGAAAGCAGGGGAUCUUCGGACCUUGCGCGAUUGAAUGAGCCGAUGUCGGAUUAGCUAGUUGGCGGGGUAAAGGCCCACCAAGGCGACGAUCCGUAGCUGGUCUGAGAGGAUGAUCAGCCACACUGGAACUGAGACACGGUCCAGACUCCUACGGGAGGCAGCAGUGGGGAAUAUUGGACAAUGGGCGCAAGCCCGAUCCAGCCAUACCGCGUGGGUGAAGAAGGCCUUCGGGUUGUAAAGCCCUUUUGUUGGGAAAGAAAAGCAGCAGGUUAAUACCCCGCUGUUCUGACGGUACCAAAGAAUAAGCACCGGCUAACUUCGUG